CGACCGGCGCACGGGUGAGUAACACGUAUCCAACCUGCCGUCUACUCUUGGACAGCCUUCUGAAAGGAAGAUUAAUACAAGAUGGCAUCAUGAGUCCGCAUGUUCACAUGAUUAAAGGUAUUCCGGUAGACGAUGGGGAUACGUUCCAUUAGAUAGUAGGCGGGGUAACGGCCCACCUAGUCUUCGAUGGAUAGGGGUUCUGAGAGGAAGGUCCCCCACAUUGGAACCGAGACACGGUCCAA
rnacentral:rRNA from 1 species